GAUGAACGCUGGCGGCGUGCCUAAUACAUGCAAGUCGAGCGAACGGACGAGAAGCUUGCUUCUCUGAUGUUAGCGGCGGACGGGUGAGUAACACGUGGAUAACCUACCUAUAAGACUGGGAUAACUUCGGGAAACCGGAGCUAAUGCCGGAUGAUAUUUUGAACCGCAUGGUUCAAAAGUGAAAGACGGUCUUGCUGUCACUUAUAGAUGGAUCCGCGCUGCAUUAGCUAGUUGGUAAGGUAACGGCUUACCAAGGCAACGAUGCAUAGCCGACCUGAGAGGGUGAUCGGCCACACUGGAACUGAGACACGGUCCAGACUCCUACGGGAGGCAGCAGUAGGGAAUCUUCCGCAAUGGGCGAAAGCCUGACGGAGCAACGCCGCGUGAGUGAUGAAGGUCUUCGGAUCGUAAAACUCUGUUAUUAGGGAAGAACAUAUGUGUAAGUAACUGUGCACAUCUUGACGGUACCUAACCAGAAAGCCACGGCUAACUACGUG
rnacentral:rRNA from 1 species